rnacentral:rRNA from 1 species
GAUUCAUGACUGGGGUGAAGUCGUAACAAGGUAGCCGUAGGGGAACCUGCGGCUGGAUCACCUCCUUA